rnacentral:rRNA from 1 species
AUUGAACGCUGGCGGCAGGCUUAACACAUGCAAGUCGAGCGGAGAUGAAGUGCUUGCACCUUAUCUUAGCGGCGGACGGGUGAGUAAUGCUUAGGAAUCUGCCUAUUAGUGGGGGACAACAUUCCGAAAGGAAUGCUAAUACCGCAUACGUCCUACGAGAGAAAGCAGGGGAUCUUCGGACCUUGCGCUAAUAGAUGAGCCUAAGUCGGAUUAGCUAGUUGGUGGGGUAAAGGCCUACAAAGGCGACGAUCUGUAGCGGGUCUGGGAGGAUGAUCCGCCACACUGGGACUGAGACACGGCCCAGACUCCUACGGGAGGCAGCAGUGGGGAAUAUUGGACAAUGGGGGGAACCCUGAUCCAGCCAUGCAGCGUGUGUGAAGAAGGCCUUAUGGUUGUAAAGUACUUUAAGCGAGGAGGAGGCUACUGAGACUAAUACUCUUGGAUAGUGGACGUUACUCGCAGAAUAAGCACCGGCUAACUCUGUGCCAGCCGCCGCCGUAAUAC